ACAGACUCUCACGACCAGGAAAAGGACUUUGAA
rnacentral:sRNA from 1 species